GAAAAUGGAAGCUUGUUCCUUAAUGUAAGCGGCGGACGGGUGAGUAACACGUGGGUAACCUGCCUGUAAGACUGGGAUAACUCCGGGAAACCGGGGCUAAUACCGGAUGCUUGAUUGAACCGCAUGGUUCAAUUAUAAAAGGUGGCUUCGGCUACCACUUACAGAUGGACCCGCGGCGCAUUAGCUAGUUGGUGAGGUAACGGCUCACCAAGGCACGAUGCGUAGCCGACCUGAGAGGGUGAUCGGCCACACUGGGACUGAGACACGGCCCAGACUCCUACGGGAGGCAGCAGUAGGGAAUCUUCCGCAAUGGACGAAAGUCUGACGGAGCAACGCCGCGUGAGUGAUGAAGGUUUUCGGAUCGUAAAACUCUGUUGUUAGGGAAGAACAAGUACCGUUCGAAUAGGGCGGUACCUUGACGGUACCUAACCAGAAAGCCACGGCUAACUACGUGCCAGCAGCCGCGGUAAUACGUAGGUGGCAAGCGUUGUCCGGAAUUAUUGGGCGUAAAAAGCGCGCGCAGGCGGUUCUUAAUCUGAAGGGAAGCCCCCGGUUAACCGGGGAGGGUCAUGGAAAACU
rnacentral:rRNA from 1 species